UCUUUUUCUUCUUUGUGCGGCAGCCAGAACUAUUACCGUGUUGCUUGUCUUUUUCAGAUAUACCUACGAGUUGGCGAGCGUCAAGUUCCUGGCGAGAGUAACAUCCGUGUUUACAUGGACCCUUUAACGAUCAUCUUAGUGCCCUUUCAUUGAUUUUUAACCAUAUUACUUGUAAUAUAUGAAGAUUGGUGAGGGCUGGUAGAUCAAACAUUA
rnacentral:snoRNA from 1 species